AGAGUCAUCCACAAAAAGCUUCUAACUUUUUAUAAAAGCACUAACAUGUUUAUGAUUCUA
rnacentral:tRNA from 1 species